rnacentral:ncRNA from 1 species
AAGAGCCGGAUGCGGGAAAUCCGCACGUCCGGUUCUGUGAGGGUGAAAUUCAGUAAUGAAUGAACUACUCGAC